rnacentral:SRP_RNA from 1 species
GCUGGGCAUGGUGGCUCAUGCCUGUAAUCCCAGCAUUUUGGGAGGCUGAGGUGGGUGGAUCACCUGAGAUCAGGAGUUUGAGACCAGCCUGGCCAACAUGGUGAAACCCCAUCUCUA